GACAAGCUAAGAAAAUUUAGAAGAGAUGAAGUAGACUAUAGAGAUGGCAAAGUCUUUGCCUGGAUAAAACCAACACGUAAGAAUUCCGAAUCACAUCUGCAGAGAAGGAAGCCUAGAUCUGUUUCUUUAAAUUUUACAAGCAGUGACGAUGAGGAUCACCCCAGACGCUCAGAGGCCAGCUCCUCCCAAGAUUUUUUAGAUCAGGAAGAGGAGUCACGCAGGUUCCUCAACAAGAGAAGGAGAGGACGCGGAAGAGGCCAACACGGAGGGGGAGGAAGAAAUCAAGACUAUCCAACCACACGGAGCAGGACCAGAACAAGGCUGUGAUCAACAUUUCUGGAGAACCCCUUUCUGAUGAUUGCAUAAGGGCAUCUACAUCGGAAGGCCUGGUACAAGCAAAACAUCUCUCCAACUACAGACACCAGUGUCUCAGAUUGGAAUGUCCACAGUGCAAGGUGUUCUACAUUGGAAGGACAAAGAGACGCCUUCAAGACCGCUUAGCGGAACACAAGUACGCCAUACGGGUAGGUAAUGAAGACUACCCCAUGGCAAGGCACUACAAGUCCCUACACCAUGGCAACCCUGCCUCCCUACAAGCUAUGGGUAUUGAUCAUAUUCCGGCCUCUUAUUAGAAAAGGGGACCGUCUUAAACAGUUAAACCAAAGGGACAUUUUUGGGAUUUACAAACUACAGGCCACUAAAUACCCUGGUUUAAAUGAAGAUAUGGAUUUCUCACCCUUCCUGUAGGGUUGUGAUGGGUCUAUUUGCUGUCAUCCAGUGGACAUUUUGCUUAAUUUGCCCUCAGCUAUGGUUAGACUGUUGUUGUUCAUGUUUUGCUGUGUUCUAGUGUACUAUGGAAUAUAUUGCUUUCUUAUUCUUGACACUUCUCCCA